UCUUCCUUGGUCUAGUGGUCAUGAUUUCCGCUUGUCAAAUUCGCAACAGCGAUUUCAAGCGCGGGAGACCGGGGUUCGAUUCCCCGAGGGAGAG